GUUUUUUUUGUGGGAGGUUUUGGUAGUGUGUAUAUUUUUAGUUUUUAAGUUUUUUGUAAGGAUGUUUGGUUUUUAGGUUUGAAGGGAAGGUGAGAGUUGAGUUGAGGUAGUAGUUAGGUAUUAUUUAUGGUUUUUAUAUUUUUGUAGUUUGUUUUUUUUUGGGUGUGAAUGUUAGAAGUUGGGUAGGGUUUGGGGAGGUUUGUUUAGUAUAGAGUAGUUUUUUGGUUGGGGUUUUGUGUUAUUGUGUUUGGGUGUAGAGUUGGAGUUUUGUUGGUGUGGAAGUUUAUUUGGUUUUUUUUAGUAUAGGUUUGUAAGUAUUUGUUGGUAGUUAGUUUUUUUUUUUUUGUGUUU
rnacentral:misc_RNA from 1 species